UUUGAGUGGCGGACGGGUGAGUAACGCGUGGGUAACCUGCCUUACACAGGGGGAUAACACCUGGAAACAGGUGCUAAUACCGCAUAAGCGCACAGGGCCGCAUGGCCCGGUGUGAAAAACUCCGGUGGUGUAAGAUGGACCCGCGUCUGAUUAGCUUGUUGGCGGGGUAGAGGCCCACCAAGGCGACGAUCAGUAGCCGGCCUGAGAGGGUGGACGGCCACAUUGGGGCUGAGACACGGCCCAAACUCCUACGGAAGGCAGCAG
rnacentral:rRNA from 1 species